AUUGAACGCUGGCGGCAGGCCUAACACAUGCAAGUCGAACGAGUCGGGGGCGGGUGUGUAAUGUCUGGGAAACUGCUUGAUGGAUGGGGAAAACUACGGGAAACGGUAGCUAAUACCGCAUACCAUCAGCUGUGCCAUGAUGGGAUUAGCUAGUUGGUAGGGUAACGGCUUACCACGGCGACGAUCCCUAGCGGGUCUGAGAGGAUGACCAGCCACACUGGAACUGAGACACGGUCCAGACUCCUACGGGAGGCAGCAGUGGGGAAUAUUGCACAAUGGGCGAAAGCCUGAUGCAGCCAUGCCGCGUGUAUGAAGAAGGCCUUCGGAUGGUAAAGUACUUUCAGCGGGGAGGCGUUACCCACAGAAGAAGCACCGGCUAACUCCGUGCCAGCAGCCGCGGUAAUAC
rnacentral:rRNA from 1 species